UGUUAAAAUUUUCAUCCAUUUGUACAGUUAAAAACUAAUUGGUUUGAUGGAAUAAUCAAACAGUGGUACGUGGCAUGCCACAUGUACAUCAUGCUAGCAUAUAGAGACCAAUUUUUAACAAUAGAAAUUGAUGGAAUUUUUAACA
rfam:Gossypium hirsutum cultivar TM-1 chromosome 21, whole genome shotgun sequence